rnacentral:misc_RNA from 1 species
GAACGCACCUUGCGCCCUUUGGCUAUUCCGAAGGGCAUGCCUGUUUGAGUAUCAUGAACACCUCAACUCUCAUGGUUUGCCGUGAUGAGCUUGGACUUUGGGGGUCUUUGCUGGCUUACGGUCGGCUCCUCUCAAACGAAUCAGCUUGCCAGUGUUUGGCGGCAUCACAGGUGUGAUAACUAUCUGCGCUUGUGGUUUCCCGCUAGAUAACCUUCAGCGAUGGAGGUUCGCUGGAGCUCAUAAAUGUCUCUCCUCAGCGAGGACAGCACUUUGACUGUUUGAUCUCAAAUCAGGUAGGACUACCCGCUGAACUUAAG